rnacentral:rRNA from 1 species
AUUGAACGCUGGCGGCAGGCCUAACACAUGCAAGUCGAGCGGAGCGGCGGACGGGUGAGUAAUGCCUAGGAAGGUGCCCGGUAGUGGGGGAUAACGUCGGGAAAGGGGAGCUAAUACCGCAUACUAUAAGAGGGGCCUAGGUCGGAUUAGCUAGUUGGUGGGGUAACGGCCUACCAAGGCGACGAUCCUUAACUGGUCUGAGAGGAUGAUCAGUCACACUGGGACUGAGACACUGUCCAGACUCCUACGGGAGGCAGCAGUGGGGAAUUUUGGACAAUGGGCGAAAGCCUGAUCCAGCCAUGCCGCGUGUGUGAAGAAGGUCUUCGGAUUGUAAAGCACUUUUAGUUGGGAAGCGGUACCUACAGAAUAAGCACCGGCUAACUUCGUGCCAGCAGCCGCGGUAAUAC